GACGAACGCUGGCGGCGUGCUUAACACAUGCAAGUCGAACGAAGUGGCGAACGGGUGAGUAACGCGUAAUCAACCUGCCCUUCAGAGGGGGACAACAGUUGGAAACGACUGCUCAUACCGCAUCCUGCAGGAGGGGAUUGCGUCUGCUUAGCUAGUUGGAGGGGUAACGGCCCACCAAGGCGAUGAUCAGUAGCCGGUCGGAGAGGAUGAACAGCCACAUUGGGACUGAGACACGGCCCAGAAUCCUACGGGAGGCAGCAGUGGGGAAUCUGCCGGAAUGGACGAAAGUCUGACGGAGCAACGCCGCGGGAGUGAUGACGGCCUUCGGGUUGUAAAGCUCUGUUAAUCGGGACGCGGUACCGGAAUAGAAAGCCACGGCUAACUACGUGCCAGCAGCCGCGGUAAUUC
rnacentral:rRNA from 1 species